CAACAGCUGAAAGGAGGUGAUCCAGUGUCUAGAGUCACAUUGGAGAGAGGUGUCGGAACAGCCCGGAGGAUGAUCUGCUAGGGCAACCCCUCGCAGAGACUCUUCUCAGGGUUGGCAUUGCCUAACCGGCCCGCCUCCUUGACGUCUCGAAUGGGUCACCCCACAGGCAGGGUGGCCCA
rnacentral:sRNA from 1 species